rnacentral:rRNA from 1 species
ACGCUCGACACCUACUGGAGGCAGCAGUCGGGAAUAUUGCGCAAUGGAGGAAACUCUGACGCAGUGACGCCGCGUAUAGGAAGAAGGUUUUCGGAUUGUAAACUAUUGUCGUUAGGGAAGAGAAAGGACAGUACCUAAGGAGGAAGCUCCGGCUAACUACGUGCCAGCACGCCGCGGUAAUCUGAGGCGGGCGUCGGACGAAGGC